rnacentral:tRNA from 1 species
GGAGUUGUGGCUCAGUGGUAGAGUGCUUGCCUGUUACGUAUGAGGCCCUGGGUUUGAUCCUCAGCACUGCA